CCGUGCUAGAUGGGGAGUUAGCGGUGCCCUAUAACCUGCAAUCCGCUAUAGCAGGAUUGAAUUCCCUAGGUAGGUACUAAUUUGUAUGGCCUGCCCUAUAUAAGUGGUGUUGAUAGUUGGGUCCCACGCAAGGAAACCCAUGAACCUCGUCAGGUCCGGAAGGAAGCAGCGAUAAGUGGUCACUUUUCUGUGCCGUGGAUCAAUCUGACUUGAGCUAACUGUAUAGGUAACGCAUAUAAAUUUUUACCGAGCUAGGGUGCACGG
rnacentral:SRP_RNA from 1 species